rnacentral:rRNA from 1 species
GUGAACGCUGGCGGUAGGCCUAACACAUGCAAGUCGCACGGCAGCACAGUAAGAGCUUGCUCUUACGGGUGGCGAGUGGCGGACGGGUGAGGAAUACAUCGGAAUCUACUUUUUCGUGGGGGAUAAUGUAGGGAAACUUACGCUAAUACCGCAUACGACCUACGGGUGAAAGCAGGGGAUCUUCGGACCUUGCGCGAUUGAAUGAGCCGAUGUCGGAUUAGCUAGUUGGCGGGGUAAAGGCCCACCAAGGCGACGAUCCGUAGCUGGUCUGAGAGGAUGAUCAGCCACACUGGAACUGAGACACGGUCCAGACUCCUACGGGAGGCGGCAGUGGGGAAUAUUGGACAAUGGGCGCAAGCCUGAUCCAGCCAUACCGCGUGGGUGAAGAAGGCCUUCGGGUUGUAAAGCCCUUUUGUUGGGAAAGAAAAGCAGCAGGUUAAUACCCCGCUGUUCUGACGGUACCCAAAGAAUAAGCACCGGCUAACUUCGUG